UCCUCUCCCCAACAAAACAAAACAAGACAAAAAACAACCCUCCCCAUACAAACUCAAACAAAAUAUUCACAUACAGUAUCACAGGCUAGUUAAAAACACAUGCUCUAAUUCAGGGAUUAUCAAUAUUUUUGGCCUCAAUACCCACCAACAAAUAUUAAAGUCCCCAAGAUUUUGUGGAUUACAUCUUUCCAUGUUUCCAUAUUAGAAAAUAAACCUAAGACUUUUUUUUUAAGAAUACACAUUCUACUAGCUGUAAUCAUCAUAACAGUGAUAUAAGAAUAUGUCAUUUAAGCCUCUGGAAAACCCAUCAAGCAUCUCUUUAUAAGUACAUAUUAAUAGUCGCACAUACAAAAUUCCAAAUGACAUUUUCAAGCAAUGACAUUUUGCACAUGAAGAGUUGCCAAUUUUUACGUAACUGUUACUACAUAUUAUAUAUGUAAAACUGGUUCCACACGUGGUGUAUGUGUACCAGUCUCACACAAGACUGGGCUGAUUUUAUUCUUGGUCCUAAUCAUCUUCCUCAUCUUCAUCUUCCUCAGUUUCUUCCAUUUCCUCAGCAGGAAGAGCAGCUGCUUCUUGAGCGGCUCUGAAAGCCUGCUCUUCCUCCACACUAGGAUCAUCCAUUUCUGUAAUUUCUGCUCCGCUGGGGUAUUCUUGACAAACUGGGGGUAGAGCUGGAGGUGUAUAGUUGUCUGGACUAUAUUUAUGACCCCAGCCUAUGUAGACAUUUUCAAACUUUCUAUAAAGUUUGAAGAGAAAGUAGAUAAUCAUUAUACAGUUUUUCAGUAAGAAAGUUGAUCCUUCUGUAAAAGCUGAUCACUCUCUCUUAGACCAUCAUAUUCCCGUAAUUUUAAAACAAUACAUUUUAAGUGCUAGGGAUGAAAUCGCCCUCAGUGAUUCUUCUACCACAGGAAAUGACUGAUGCAAACUGCUUAAGCUAGUUAAGAGGCUGGCCAGACCCUCCUCAAAAUGUACCCUACACCUGGACCACAACCUUUAAUUGUUACUAUUUUCAGAAAAACAAAACCAAUAAGUUUAAAAAAAAAGUUACUAAUCCUCUGUAGAGUUAGGAAUAAUUAAAAAGUUGCCAACCUAGUAAAUUGUUGGUAUGACAGAGGAUGCUUGCUAUUGGUUACAAACCUGUGUGUGAUUUUUUUUUAGGCCCAACUGUGCAAUUGUCAGGUGCCACCUGGCAGGCCUCACAGGAAAACUGCUGUUUCCAUGCCAGACUUGAUGCCCAGCAAGACUGCACCACAGUCUCUAAGGAAAGUGGUAGUCUGACCCAUCGGGCCUGUCAUGUUCUCCCCAUAGUUGAGUUCUUAGCAUGGGUGCCUUCAUUCUAGGUCUUAUCUGAGGCCUUCAGCAGAGGUCUUCAGGUGCUUCUGCCAAGGCUUCCUUAUGGGGUUGGGGAAGGGCGGGUACCUUAGAGACACUGCUCCGUCCUCUGACUCAGUACUCCAUACUUUUUCACCUCUAGCCUUUCCACCCACCCUCCACUGGCUUCCUGAGCUCCCGAGACCGUAAAACUGCAGCAGCCUAUUAUCUGGGGACUCCUCAGUGAGAUGGCCCCCACAUCUACACUGACCCACUGACCUCCCAUCGUUGUGUCAUUCCAUGAAGGAAAAUAGGACAAGAGUAGUCAGAGUUUUCUCUUGCUUAUAUCAUCAUGGUAAAUGAUCAAAAGCUUAACUCAUUUAACCUGUUGCUUUAACAGCAUCUCUGACAUCUGGCAGCCCAGCUCUCUCUCCAGCUUAGCUGAGCUUCUGACAACUGGGUUCUUAGAUGAGAAAUGGAAGCAUAAGACAAAUGGAAGUGUAUGUUCUGGGUGAGGGAGAAAAGGACAGUCUUGGCUGCAGAAUGCAAGACAAGAAUGAAACACAAGACAACUGUCAGCAUUUCCAACAUUUUCAGGACGCUCAUCUAAGACCUUCGUGAGCAUAUCAGAAAGAUGAUCAUAUCUACCCGAAAAGAGAAGAUUCCAGGUAACAUCCAUGUCAAAAAGGCUUUGAAGAAGUAUUACAUGCAGACUCAAUUAGUUGGUUUCUAGGAAAUUUCAACAACUCAAAGCCUUCAGAAAUUUUAAGUGGAUAAACACAGUAACUUCAUCUGCCACAAAGAUCCUACCCUAGAAUCUUCCUUAUUUGAUAUGAAUAUUUAACUUAUUUAAAAAACAUAUUACAGCAACUAGAGUUCUUGAUUUGCUCCAAAAGGGGCCAUAAAUGCCAUUAAAUUGCCAUUAAAUUGAGGACUCUACAUCCAAAUUUUCAUUUUAUUUUUCCAGUUUUAAUAUGUUUACAUUUGAUUUAUUUAUAGUUCUUCAGACAAGAUAUUGUAUCAGUGUGUCUUAAGAAGUCCAAACCUGAAAAUGCCUUUCUGUCAAAUUAUAAAAUAUGUUUAUUAGAUUUUAAUUCACAAUUAUAGCUUUUUCAAUUUGGAAGCUAUAAUUAAUAUAUAAUUAUAUAUUAUUAUAAUAUAUAAUAAUAUAAUUAAUAACUUAAUAGAAUGACAGAAAGGAGGAAGCAAUUCUUUUUGUAGGCUUUUUAUUCAACAGAGAAAAACCAAUAUCAGAUAUUGUGUUUUAGUAAAAGACUGUUUUAAUCACAACAAAAAAUAUUUUUCAUGGCUGUCAAAUAAGAUCUGCAGAUAAGAGAGAAUUAAAGUCAUCUGUUACUGAGCAGUUUUUAAAUGCAGGCUCUACCGUACUUAGAAGAUAAUAGUGAAUAUUAUAAGAGAUGUCAAUUUAUGACCUCAGAGACUUAGCAUUUGAAAAUAAAAUUUAGAUACUUAAGUAAUGUCAGUUACAAAAUAAUUCAGUAAAAUAAAUUUUUCCAUUUCGAUGUAUUGUGUUCAGUUUUAAAUUGUUAGUGAACUCUCAAGUAUUUAUAAUGAGUUUUUCUGGAAUUGUAACACUGUUUGUAACACUAUUUGUAAAUUCAUACUUGUUAUUUAACCCAGAGAAUUAUGACCAUAAGUUUAUAUGAGAAAUUCAAGUAGAAUCCACUACUUCACAUCCUUGAAGCUUAGUAAAUAAACUGUAGCUUAAAACAGUAUUUUAGAAAAAAUCUUUUGAAUUGUUAGU